rnacentral:rRNA from 1 species
CAACGAAGAGUGAAGAGGGAAGAGCUCAGUUUUGCCAUCUGGCAGUGAUUCGCUGUCCGAGUUGUAAAUUGAAGAGAAUGUCAUCCACGCUGGACCAUGUCUAAAUUGUAAUGAUCCACAGUCCUUUGAUGGAGUAUCAGAGAGGGUAAUAAUCCCGUCUUUAACAUGGACUACCAGUGUUUCUGUGAUGCACUCUCUCAGAGUCGAGUAGUUUGGGAAUGCUGCUCUAAUGGGAGGUAAACUCCUUCUAAAGCUAAAUAUUGGCGAGAGACC